UUUAAAUAUAGUUUUUAAAGAAAAGAGUUGUAUUCUUGGUGGUGAAAUAACAACGGCUAAAACAGACUUCUGGUUUGUAAUUGUUGAACAUGCAUGGCACUGAAGAUAUUAAUAUGAUACUAGUGUGUCUUAUUGUUUAUAAAUAUGUAACCCCAGUUUUUAUUUCCAGAUUGUGGUAUGCCUGCUAACUCGUAGAUGAGAUUUCUGCUAAAGUAGACGUGAUUUUAUGGUUUAAUACAUAACCAACUUACUCUUUCUUCACUGAAGGUUUCACUAAUUUCAGUUAUAAUGCCUGCUAACUCGCAGAUGAGAUUUCUGCUAAAGUAGACCUGAUUUUAAGGUUUAAUACAUAACCAACUUACUCUUUCUUCACCGAAGGUUUCACUAAUUUCAAAUGUGCUGCAACUAUGCUUAUUUGGGGGCAAGAUACAUUUUGUGUGUGAGGUGUUUAGCAGAUUGUGGUAUGCCUGCUAACUCGCAGAUGACAUUUCUGCUGAAGUAGACCUGAUUUUAAGGUUUAAUACAUAACCAACUUACUCUUUCUUCACCGAAGGUUUCACCAAUUUCAAAUGUGCUGCAGCUACCGGGUAUGCUUAUUUGGGGGCAAGAUUCAUUUUGUGUGAGGUGUUUAGCAGGUUAUGGUAUGCCUGCUAACUCGCAGAUGAGAUUUCUGCUAAAGUAGACCUGAUUUUAAGGUUUAAUACAUAACCAACUUACUCUUUCUUCACCGAAGGUUUCACUAAUUUCAAAUGUGCUGCAACUAUGCUUAUUUGGGGGCAAGAUACAUUUUGUGUGUGAGGUGUUUAGCAGAUUGUGGUAUGCCUGCUAACUCGCAGAUGACAUUUCUGCUGAAGUAGACCUGAUUUUAAGGUUUAAUACAUAACCAUCUUACUCUUUCUUCACCGAAGGUUUCACCAAUUUCAAAUGUGCUGCAGCUACCGGGUAUGCUUAUUUGGGGGCAAGAUUCAUUUUGUGUGAGGUGUUUAGCAGGUUAUGGUAUGCCUGCUAACUCGCAGAUGAGAUUUCUGCUAAAGUAGACCUGAUUUUAAGGUUUAAUACAUAACCAACUUACUCUUUCUUCACCGAAGGUUUCACUAAUUUCAAAUGUGCUGCAACUAUGCUUAUUUGGGGGCAAGAUACAUUUUGUGUGUGAGGUGUUUAGCAGAUUGUGGUAUGCCUGCUAACUCGCAGAUGACAUUUCUGCUAAAGUAGACCUGAUUUUAAGGUUUAAUACAUAACCAACUUACUCUUUCUUCACCGAAGGUUUCACCAAUUUCAGUAAGUAUAUACAGUGUAUGGUACAAUAC